UACGUAGGGUGCGAGCGUUGUCCGGAAUUAUUGGGCGUAAAGAGCUCGUAGGCGGUGUGUCACGUCGUUCGUGAAAACCUGCAGCUUAACUGUGGGCGUGCGGUCGAUACGGGCAUCACUGGAGUUCGGCAGGGGAGACUGGAAUUCCUGGUGUAGCGGUGGAAUGCGCAGAUAUCAGGAGGAACACCGGUGGCGAAGGCGGGUCUCUGGGCCGAUACUGACGCUGAGGAGCGAAAGCGUGGGGAGCGAACAGG
rnacentral:rRNA from 1 species